AUUGAACGCUGGCGGCAUGCCUUACACAUGCAAGUCGAACGGUAACAGGUCUUCGGAUGCUGACGAGUGGCGCACGGGUGAGUAAUACAUCGGAACGUGCCCGAUCGUGGGGGUUAACGAGGCGAAAGCUUUGCUAAUACCGCAUACGAUCUACGGAUGAAAUCGGGGGAUCUUCGGACCUCGCGCGGACGGAGCGGCCGAUGGCCGAUUAGGUAGUUGGUGGGAUAAAAGCUUACCAAGCCGACGAUCUGUAGCUGGUCUGAGAGGAUGAUCAGCCACACUGGGACUGAGACACGGCCCAGACUCCUACGGGAGGCAGCAGUGGGGAAUAUUGGACAAUGGGCGAAAGCAUGAUCCAGCAAUGCCGCGUGCAGGAUGAAGGCCUUUGGGUUGUAAACUGCUUUUGUACGGAAAGAAAAGACUCUUACUAAUAAAGAGGGGUAAUGACGGUACCGAAAGAAUAAGCACCGGCUAACUACGUG
rnacentral:rRNA from 1 species